GUAGAGCCACUGAAACAUCUCAUGGGACCCGGUGCUAGACAGGGGGUGUGGCCAUCCGGAAAACCACUCCCUGUGAAAAUUAUGUGCUCCACUUCAAAAUCUGUUCAGUGCCCCAGGACAAGCCAGGGCCUGGGUAAUUAGUACCCCUUCCUUGCAGCACUCAGCAUGCUAAUUAUCCUUACUUGCUUCCAGGGUACGCGAUGGAAAGGUCCAACAGUACUUCCCAAAGCAGACGCUGUUCUAGUCAGAGUUCCAAGUUACGAAAUUAGACCUUAGUUUGUUGGCUUGACGUUCCCACAAGUGAGCUGCAGGAGUUGGAGUGAACCAGUUUGACCAUCUGCUCUGGUCAUACAGUGACUUUUUCCAUGGAUACAGGGUGGCGCUACACUCGAAAGGGGUACGCAAGCAAGAGUGUAUCCAGAAGCCUAAAGGACCAAAAUCUCAACACAAUAAAACCACCACAGAAGCAGUUAAGAAGCGUGUUCCCAGAAUCUCACUAAGCCAAUCCAUCAGCGUCGCUCAUCCGCUGAUAGCUCAUUAUGACCACUGCAUUGCUAAUUAUGCUGUCAUUUAUCACAUAAACAGGCGCUGCAAAAGGACUAAUGGCCUGAAUAUUCCUAUCUUAAUAUUAAUUCAGAAUGGAUACAGGUCCAGGUCUUCCAGGAUGGAGAUAUUUAAUAUUUCAUGAGUGAUGGGAAAAAUCAAGCAGGAGACCCACCAUUCAUGGGGCAGCCAGGAGGCACCAGGAUAAGUCUAAUCAGCUACCAUGAAGGAUGUCCUGAAGGUUGAAUAUCCCUUUAAAAAAAAACAGCCCGAUGAAUAAAUAAAUAUCCUAAAACUAUGCAAUUUUCCUUUACAAAUGCAAAACCCCCAAGAACCAUACUUCUAAAGAGAAAGUUAUAGCAAGGCAAAUUAACGAUAAUAGCCUAUUUUCUCCGCAUAGCUCACUCACUUAGCUGUUCCAUGUUUAAGCUACAGCGGCUUAGACUCUAAUACACAAUGCUGUGCUGACUAAAUUAAACAAGGUUCUGAAAAUAUAAACAUAAAAUUAAAUUAGAGUUCUUGUUUCAGUCCUUUUUAUGCCAUGGAAGAAAAACAGACGGUUUACUCUUGCUCUCCCCACUAUUACUUGGCAGGCUGCAGGCCGUGACUUAAAUGAAUGCUUUCAACAAAAUUGUAAACUCUAAUACCAAUUUCAGAGCAUAGCGUGACCUCCAGAAAAAAAAUAAAAAAUAAAGUAGA